GCCGCAAGGCUGAAACUCAAAGGAAUUGACGGGGCCCGCACAAGCGGUGGAGCAUGUGGUUUAAUUCGAGCUACGCGAAGAACCUUACCAGGUCUUGACAUACUAUGCAAAUCUAAGAGAUUAGACGUUCCCUUCGGGGACAUGGAUACAGGUGGUGCAUGGUUGUCGUCAGCUCGUGUCGUGAGAUGUUGGGUUAAGUCCCGCAACGAGCGCAACCCUUAUUAUCAGUUGCCAGCAUUAAGUUGGGCACUCUGGUGAGACUGCCGGUGACAAACCGGAGGAAGGUGGGGAUGACGUCAAAUCAUCAUGCCCCUUAUGACCUGGGCUACACACGUGCUACAAUGGAUGGUACAACGAGUUGCGAACUCGCGAGAGUAAGCUAAUCUCUUAAAGCCAUUCUCAGUUCGGAUUGUAGGCUGCAACUCGCCUACAUGAAGUCGGAAUCGCUAGUAAUCGCGGAUCAGCAUGCCGCGGUGAAUACGUUCCCGGGCCUUGUACACACCGCCCGUCACACCAUGAGAGUUUGUAACACCCAAAGUCGGUGGGGUAACCUUUAGGAACCAGCCGCCUAAGGUGGGACAGAUGAUUAGGGUGAAGUCGUAACAAGGUAACCA
rnacentral:rRNA from 1 species